rnacentral:rRNA from 1 species
UACGAAGGGGGCUAGCGUUGUUCGGAUUUACUGGGCGUAAAGCGCACGUAGGCGGAUCGUUAAGUCGGGGGUGAAAUCCUGGAGCUCAACUCCAGAACUGCCUUCGAUACUGGCGAUCUCGAGUCCGGAAGAGGUGAGUGGAACUCCUAGUGUAGAGGUGGAAUUCGUAGAUAUCAGGAGGAACACCGGUGGCGAAGGCGGCUUGCUGGGCCUUACCUGACGCUGAGGAGCGAAAGCGUGGGGAGCGAACAGG